AUUGAACGCUGGCGGCAUGCUUUACACAUGCAAGUCGAACGGCAGCGCGGGCUUCGGCCUGGCGGCGAGUGGCGAACGGGUGAGUAAUACAUCGGAACGUGCCCAGCAGUGGGGGAUAGCUCGGCGAAAGCCGGCUUAAUACCGCAUACGACCUGAUGGUGAAAGCGGGGGAUCUUCGGACCUCGCGCUAUUUGAGCGGCCGAUGGCAGAUUAGCUAGUUGGUGGGGUAAAGGCCUACCAAGGCGACGAUCUGUAGCUGGUCUGAGAGGACGACCAGCCACACUGGGACUGAGACACGGCCCAGACUCCUACGGGAGGCAGCAGUGGGGAAUUUUGGACAAUGGGCGAAAGCCUGAUCCAGCAAUGCCGCGUGUGUGAUGAAGGCCUUCGGGUUGUAAAGCACUUUUGGCGGGAACGAAAAGGACUGUGCCAAUACCACGGUUCGAUGACGGUACCCGCAGAAUAAGCACCGGCUAACUACGUG
rnacentral:rRNA from 1 species